UUCCAUUAUUAUUUAGUUUAAAUUGUGCGGGCUGAAGUUUUAGAAAUGAAUUGAAGUUGCAGCGGGGCGGUUUGUAUAGAUUGGUUAUUUGGAAAAUUUAGUAGUUUUGAUGAUUUAUUGAGUUUAGGGGAAAUUAGGGUUCUGAUUUGAGAUUAUGCAUAAAGAUUUUUUGUCAUACUAAUUUGUGUGGAAUUUGAUCUUUCUGCAGUAAAUCUUGAUUGGUGGCAUUCGAAAUGUUGAGGGCCAUUACCCUCAGCUCAGCUUCCUUACUUUUGCACUGUGUAUACUAAAACAAUAGGACUCAAUAUAAAAAUUGCCAUAAUGUUACCAGCAAACUUCAGUGUUCACAGGCCAAUUAGCUUCUUAUAUGUCCUGUUGUUCUUAUACACCAGAUACAAUUCCUGCUCUCUAUAAAAUAAGGAAAUGUUUGGUUGAAUCUAUCGACGAAACUUCACUGCAAGUGAAUAUGUCUGUUGCAUACCCUCCAUUUGGCGUCUGAUUCAAAAGUCUUGUACCUCAAGAUGAAGGGCGACUACCACCGCUACCUUGCCGAAUUGAAGAUUGGUGGCGAGCGUAAGGAGGCUGUUGAGAGCACCCGCUCUGCCUACAAAGGCUCUCAGGCACUCUCCGACCUGUUAUCCUUCCACUGCAGAGAGGUGGAGGUGUUCGCUGCUCUGUGAAACCAGCCUCACGCGGUGCCCUCCAAUCUAAGAGCUGAGAGCUGAGAAGCCUCUGCCUUCGCAAAGACUCCACAGCCAGACUCACCACUUGGAACGGGCAAGCCGGUAGAUAGCACCCCAAGCCCAACCUUCAAGGUAAGCCCAUUUAUUCCACCAUCUUAAUGCUCCCACUUGGGUUACA